UGUUGGACAGUUGACAGUUGGAACCAGACAACUAUUUGACAUAUCAAGAUUAAAUAUCAAUAUUGCAGUUCGAACCCUCAGAGCUCAUACGCUGCACUCAGUCGGGGAGGAUGUUUUCCAGUUGGUUUUCUCCUGAAGGAGUCGCUGUUUUGUUACUCACAAUAGUUACAACAUUUGAUGCUUCCCUUCCCGAUGUGAAUCUCACACUACCUGAAAAAUGCCAGGUUGAUUUGCUAGCAGAGUCUGCACUGGAGUGGGCGCUGCCCCCAUUUCAGAACGGAACAGUGCAGGAGCCACUACAGGACAU